AACGAACGCUGGCGGCAUGCCUAACACAUGCAAGUCGAACGAAGUCUUCGGACUUAGUGGCGCACGGGUGCGUAACGCGUGGGAAUCUGCCCUUGGGUGCGGAAUAACUUCUCGAAAGGGAUGCUAAUACCGCAUAAUGUCGUAAGACCAAAGAUUUAUCGCCCAAGGAUGAGCCCGCGUAAGAUUAGCUAGUUGGUGGGGUAAAAGCCUACCAAGGCGACGAUCUUUAGCUGGUCUGAGAGGAUGAUCAGCCACACUGGGACUGAGACACGGCCCAGACUCCUACGGGAGGCAGCAGUGGGGAAUAUUGGACAAUGGGCGAAAGCCUGAUCCAGCAAUGCCGCGUGAGUGAUGAGGCCCUAGGUGUAAAGCUCUUUACCAGGGAUGAUAAUGACAGUACCUGGAGAAUAAGCUCCGGCGUAACUCCGUGCCAGCAGCCGCGGUAA
rnacentral:rRNA from 1 species